rnacentral:rRNA from 1 species
GACGAACGCUGGCGGCGUGCUUAACACAUGCAAGUCGAACGGUGAAGCGCCUUCCUUUUUGGUGGGUGUGGAUGAGUGGCGAACGGGUGAGUAACACGUGAGUAACCUGCCCCCUUCUUCUGGAUAACCGCAUGAAAGUGUGGCUAAUACGGGAUAUUCUGGGUCUGUCGCAUGAUGGGUCUGGGAAAGAUAUUGUUUCGGUGGGGGAUGGGCUCGCGGUCUAUCAGCUUGUUGGUGGGGUGAUGGCCUACCAAGGCGGUGACGGGUAGCCGGCCUGAGAGGAUGGGCGGUCACGCUGGUACGGAGCGGCGGCGCAGACUCCGACGGGAGGCAGCAGGGGGGAAUAUGGCACGAGGGGAGGAAGGCUGAUGCAGCGACGCCGGGGGAGGGAUGGAGUCCUGCGGGUUGAGAACCUCUAUCGCCAAUGAAGCAGGCCUGCCUCGUGUGUGGGUGGGUUGACGGUAGCUGGAGAAGAAGCGCCGGCUAACUACGUG